rnacentral:rRNA from 1 species
CACGUAGGGCGCAAGCGUUGUCCGGAAUUAUUGGGCGUAAAGAGCUCGUAGGUGGUUUGUUACGUCCGCUGUGAAAUCCUAGGGCUUAACCCUGGGCUUGCAGUGGAUACGGGCAGACUAGAGGUAGGUAGGGGAGAAUGGAAUUCCUGGUGUAGCGGUGAAAUGCGCAGAUAUCAGGAAGAACACCCGUGGCGAAGGCGGCUCUCUGGUACGUGACUGACGCUGAGACGCGAAAGCGUGGGGAGCAAACAGG